GCCCUCCCUUCCUUGGAGUUCUGCUUGGCACCGAGAAGUCACUGCGCCGAGUUAAGGGACACAGAAAAAUCAAGAAAAAAACUCCUGAUUCCCUGCAAGGAGCAAUGGGGGAGGCUUGCUCUCAGCUCCUGGUUGGAUGGUGCGAGAUAUUUGGCUGCGGAUGAUCAGAGAGCUUGGUCAGUCCGACCUUCCCCCAGCUUCAGCGGAGCUCGCCUCUUUCGCGCCACAGCUGGAGCAGCUGCCCUGUUCUGUCCGCACUGGCUUCGGUGCGCAGCUCUUGGUGCCCCACGCAGCGUUUUUAUGCACGUUUUUAUUCUGGUCCAUGGAUCUGUGUACCACUCACUGCUUGCAAGCCUGGAUGCUGAGGAGGGACCCUCGGGACUCCAGGAGGACUGGCUGUAACAGCUACUAGAUCCGAUGCAGUUUCCUCUCCUGGGAUAUCUGAGCGAGGCCCAUGGAUGCCGAGGGCCUCUUGGGGCUCUGACCCCAUGCUUUCUCCCCUCAGUCAUGAGCUCCUGCACAGCCCAAGGUACCCAGGCACGGACUGCACCCUGGCAGGCUCAUCCAGGACUCUGCAUGUCCCGUGGUCACAGCAGAUGAGCGGAAGCCUCGAGGGGCCAACUCUGAAACGGCGUGGUGGCGUGGUGGACCACCGGGAUGUCAUCUUGGCCCACCAGGCGCACAAAAUGCACAGCACCCCUCAGGCCAGAAGGAAAGAGUGGGAAAUGGCCCGCUUUGGAGACGAGAUGCCGGGCCGCUACGGCGCAGGCGGAGGAGGCUCAGGGCCGGCCGCCGGGGUGGUCGUGGGCGCCGCGGGCGGCCGAGGAGCCGGGGGCAGCCGGCAGGGCGGGCAGCCCGGAGCGCAGAGGAUGUACAAGCAGUCGAUGGCGCAGAGAGCGCGGACCAUGGCCCUCUACAACCCCAUCCCUGUCCGCCAGAACUGCCUCACGGUCAACCGCUCCCUGUUCCUCUUCAGUGAAGACAACGUGGUGAGAAAAUACGCCAAAAAGAUCACUGAAUGGCCUCCCUUCGAGUACAUGAUCCUGGCCACCAUCAUUGCUAACUGCAUCGUCCUGGCCCUGGAGCAGCACCUCCCUGAUGAUGACAAGACACCCAUGUCUGAGCGGCUGGAUGACACGGAACCAUACUUCAUUGGAAUCUUCUGUUUUGAGGCUGGAAUUAAGAUCGUGGCUCUUGGCUUUGCCUUCCACAAAGGCUCCUACCUGAGGAAUGGCUGGAACGUCAUGGACUUUGUCGUGGUGCUAACAGGCAUCUUGGCCACUGUCGGGACGGAGUUUGACCUACGGACACUGAGGGCGGUUCGUGUGCUGCGGCCACUCAAGCUGGUGUCUGGAAUCCCAAGUUUACAAGUCGUCCUGAAGUCAAUCAUGAAGGCGAUGAUCCCUCUGCUGCAGAUCGGCCUCCUCCUGUUUUUUGCAAUCCUUAUUUUUGCAAUCAUAGGGUUAGAAUUUUAUAUGGGGAAAUUUCAUACCACCUGCUUUGAAGAGGGGACAGACGACAUCCAGGGUGAGUCGCCAGCUCCGUGUGGGACAGAGGAGCCUGCCCGCACCUGCCCCAACGGGACCAAAUGUCAGCCGUACUGGGAAGGGCCCAACAACGGCAUCACUCAGUUCGACAACAUCCUGUUUGCUGUGCUCACUGUUUUCCAGUGCAUCACCAUGGAAGGCUGGACUGAUCUCCUCUACAAUAGCAACGAUGCCUCAGGGAACACUUGGAACUGGUUGUACUUCAUCCCCCUCAUCAUCAUCGGCUCCUUUUUUAUGCUGAACCUUGUUCUGGGUGUGCUGUCUGGGGAGUUUGCCAAAGAAAGGGAACGUGUGGAGAACCGGAGAGCUUUUCUGAAGCUCAGAAGACAACAGCAGAUUGAACGUGAGCUCAAUGGAUACAUGGAGUGGAUCUCAAAAGCAGAAGAGGUGAUUCUUGCGGAGGACGAGACAGACGUGGAGCAGAGGCACCCUUUUGAUGUUGGAGCUCUUCGGAGAGCUACUCUGAAGAAAAGCAAGACAGACCUGCUCAACCCUGAGGAGGCCGAGGACCAGCUGGCUGACAUCGCGUCUGUGGGGUCUCCCUUCGCCAGAGCCAGCAUCAAAAGUGCCAAGCUGGAGAACUCGACUUUUUUUCACAAGAAGGAGAGAAGAAUGCGUUUCUACAUCCGCCGCAUGGUCAAAACUCAGGCCUUCUACUGGACCGUGCUCAGUCUGGUAGCCCUCAACACGCUGUGCGUCGCCAUUGUCCACUACAACCAGCCCGAGUGGCUCUCCGACUUCCUCUACUAUGCAGAAUUCAUUUUCUUAGGACUCUUUAUGUCCGAAAUGUUUAUAAAAAUGUACGGGCUCGGGACGCGGCCUUACUUCCACUCUUCCUUCAACUGCUUUGACUGUGGGGUCAUCAUUGGGAGCAUCUUUGAAGUCAUCUGGGCUGUCAUCAAACCUGGUACAUCCUUUGGAAUCAGUGUGUUACGAGCUCUCAGGUUAUUGCGAAUUUUCAAAGUCACAAAGUACUGGGCAUCUCUCAGAAACCUGGUUGUCUCCCUCCUCAACUCCAUGAAGUCCAUCAUAAGUCUGUUGUUCCUCCUUUUCCUGUUCAUCGUUGUCUUUGCCCUCCUGGGGAUGCAGCUGUUCGGUGGCCAAUUUAAUUUUGAUGAGGGGACUCCGCCCACCAACUUCGACACUUUUCCAGCAGCAAUAAUGACUGUGUUUCAGAUCCUGACUGGCGAGGAUUGGAAUGAGGUCAUGUAUGAUGGGAUCAAGUCUCAGGGGGGCGUGCAGGGCGGCAUGGUGUUCUCCAUCUACUUCAUCGUCCUCACCCUCUUCGGGAACUACACCCUGCUGAACGUGUUCUUGGCCAUCGCAGUGGACAACCUGGCCAAUGCCCAGGAGCUCACCAAGGAUGAGCAAGAAGAGGAAGAGGCAGCCAAUCAGAAGCUGGCUCUACAGAAAGCCAAGGAGGUAGCAGAAGUGAGUCCCCUGUCUGCAGCCAACAUGUCCAUAGCCGUGAAGGAGCAGCAGAAGAACCAGAAGCCUACCAAGUCGGUGUGGGAGCAGCGCACCAGCGAGAUGCGCAAGCAGAACCUGCUGGCCAGCCGCGAGGCGCUGUACGGGGACGCGGCUGAGCGCUGGCCCACCCCCUACGCGCGCCCGCUGCGGCCCGACGUGAAGACUCACUUGGACCGGCCGCUUGUGGUGGACCCGCAGGAGAACCGUAACAACAACACCAACAAGAGCCGUGCGCCAGAAGCGCUGCGCCCGACCGCGCGGCCCCGCGAAAGCGCGCGCGACCCCGACGCGCGGCGCGCCUGGCCCGGCAGCCCUGAGCGCGCCCCUGGACGAGAGGGCCCGUAUGGGCGCGAGAGCGAGCCUCAGCAGCGCGAGCACGCGCCGCCCCGCGAGCACGCACCCUGGGACGCGGACACCGAGCGCGCCAAAGCCGGGGACGCGCCCCGCCGCCACACGCACCGACCUGUGGCGGAGGGCGAGCCUCGCCGCCACCGCGCCCGCCGCCGGCCCGGGGACGAACCCGACGACAGGCCAGAGCGCAGGCCACGUCCCCGCGACGCCACUAGGCCGGCCCGCGCUGCAGACGGCGAAGGCGACGAUGGGGAGCGCAAGCGGCGACACCGACACGGGCCGCCGGCCCACGACGACAGGGAGCGCAGACACCGACGCAGAAAAGAGAACCAGGGCUCUGGGGUCCCCGUGUCUGGUCCCAACUUGUCCACCACCAGGCCAAUCCAGCAGGACCUGGGCCGCCAGGACCUGCCGCUGGCUGAGGAUCUUGACAACAUGAAGAAUAACAAGCUGGCCACCGGGGAACCUGCCAGUCCCCACGACAGCCUGGGCCACAGCGGCCUUCCCCCCAGCCCCGCCAAAAUCGGGAACAGCACCAACCCUGGUCCCGCCUUGGCCACCAAUCCCCAGAACGCUGCCAGCCGCAGGACGCCCAACAAUCCGGGCAACCCGUCCAACCCCGGCCCCCCCAAGACUCCCGAGAACAGCCUUAUCGUCACCAACCCCAGCAGCACCCAGCCCAACUCAGCGAAGACUGCCAGGAAACCCGAGCACAUGGCGGUGGAGAUCCCCCCAGCCUGCCCGCCCCUCAACCACACCGUGGUCCAAGUAAACAAAAACGCCAACCCAGACCCACUGCCAAAGAAAGAGGAAGAGAAGAAAGAGGAAGAGGAGGCAGACCCCGGGGAGGACGGCCCAAAGCCCAUGCCGCCCUACAGCUCCAUGUUCAUCCUCUCCACCACCAACCCCCUUCGCCGGCUGUGCCAUUACAUCCUGAACCUGCGCUACUUCGAGAUGUGCAUCCUCAUGGUCAUUGCCAUGAGCAGCAUCGCUCUGGCCGCCGAGGACCCGGUGCAGCCCAACGCACCCCGCAACAAUGUGCUGCGAUAUUUUGACUAUGUUUUUACAGGCGUGUUUACCUUUGAGAUGGUGAUCAAGAUGAUCGACCUGGGCCUCGUCUUGCAUCAGGGGGCCUAUUUCCGUGACCUAUGGAACAUUCUGGACUUCAUAGUGGUCAGUGGGGCCCUGGUGGCCUUUGCCUUCACGAGCAGUACACGUGGCAAUAGCAAAGGAAAGGACAUUAACACCAUUAAGUCUCUCCGAGUCCUCCGGGUGCUACGACCUCUAAAGACCAUCAAGCGGCUGCCAAAGCUGAAGGCCGUGUUUGACUGCGUGGUGAACUCGCUCAAGAACGUCUUCAACAUCCUCAUUGUGUACAUGCUGUUCAUGUUCAUCUUCGCUGUGGUAGCCGUGCAGCUCUUCAAGGGCAAGUUCUUCCACUGCACGGACGAGUCCAAGGAGUUCGAGAGAGACUGUCGAGGCAAGUACCUCCUGUACGAGAAGAACGAAGUGAAGGCCCGGGACCGCGAGUGGAAGAAGUACGAGUUCCACUACGACAACGUGCUCUGGGCUCUGCUCACACUUUUCACAGUGUCCACAGGAGAGGGCUGGCCACAGGUCCUCAAGCACUCAGUGGAUGCUACUUUUGAGAACCAGGGCCCCAGCCCCGGGUACCGCAUGGAGAUGUCCAUCUUCUACGUGGUGUACUUUGUAGUGUUUCCCUUCUUCUUUGUCAAUAUCUUCGUGGCCUUGAUCAUCAUCACCUUUCAGGAGCAGGGAGACAAGAUGAUGGAAGAGUACAGCCUGGAGAAAAAUGAGAGGGCCUGCAUCGACUUUGCCAUCAGUGCCAAGCCGCUGACCAGGCACAUGCCCCAGAACAAGCAGAGCUUCCAGUAUCGAAUGUGGCAGUUCGUCGUGUCCCCACCCUUUGAGUACACCAUCAUGGCCAUGAUCGCUCUCAACACCAUCGUGCUAAUGAUGAAGUUCUACGGAGCCUCGGUGGCCUAUGAAAACGCCCUUCGCGUGUUCAACAUUGUCUUCACCUCCCUCUUCUCUCUCGAAUGUGUGCUCAAAGUCAUGGCUUUUGGGAUUCUGAAUUAUUUCCGCGAUGCCUGGAACAUCUUCGACUUUGUGACUGUUCUGGGCAGCAUCACAGACAUCCUCGUCACCGAGUUUGGGAAUCCGAAUAACUUCAUCAACCUGAGCUUUCUCCGCCUCUUCCGUGCUGCCAGACUCAUCAAACUCCUCCGCCAGGGUUACACCAUCCGCAUUCUCCUCUGGACUUUCGUGCAGUCCUUCAAGGCCCUACCUUAUGUCUGUCUGCUGAUCGCCAUGCUCUUCUUCAUCUACGCCAUCAUCGGGAUGCAGGUGUUUGGCAACAUCGGCAUUGACGGGGAAGACGAGGACAGCGACGAGGAUGAAUUCCAAAUCACGGAGCACAAUAACUUCCGGACCUUCUUCCAAGCGCUCAUGCUUCUCUUCCGGAGCGCCACAGGAGAAGCGUGGCACAACAUCAUGCUCUCCUGCCUCAGCGGGAAGCCGUGCGAUAAGAACUCUGGGAUCCUCACGGCAGACUGCGGCAACGAGUUCGCGUACUUCUACUUUGUCUCGUUCAUCUUCCUGUGCUCGUUUCUGAUGCUGAAUCUCUUUGUCGCUGUCAUCAUGGACAACUUCGAGUACCUCACCCGAGAUUCUUCCAUCCUGGGCCCCCAUCACUUGGAUGAAUACGUGCGUGUCUGGGCAGAGUAUGACCCUGCUGCCUGCGGCCGCAUUCACUAUAAGGACAUGUACAGUUUAUUGCGAGUAAUAUCGCCCCCUCUCGGCUUAGGCAAGAAAUGUCCUCAUAGGGUUGCUUGCAAGAGACUCCUGCGGAUGGACCUGCCGGUAGCAGAUGACAACACAGUUCACUUCAACUCCACCCUGAUGGCUCUGAUCCGAACCGCCCUUGAUAUCAAAAUUGCCAAGGGUGGAGCUGACAAGCAGCAGAUGGAUGCAGAGCUUCGCAAGGAGAUGAUGGCCAUUUGGCCCAACCUGUCUCAGAAGACCCUGGAUCUGCUGGUCACACCUCACAAGUCCACGGACCUGACAGUGGGUAAGAUCUACGCAGCCAUGAUGAUCAUGGAGUAUUACCGGCAGAGCAAGGCCAAGAAACUGCAGGCCAUGCGAGAGGAGCAGAACCGGACACCACUCAUGUUCCAGCGCAUGGAGCCUCCAUCACCAACACAGGAGGGAGGACCCAGCCAGAAUGCCCUUCCCUCCACUCAGCUGGACCCAGGAGGAGGCCUGAUGGCUCACGAAGGCGGCAUGAAGGAGAGCCCGUCCUGGGUGACCCAGCGGGCCCAAGAGAUGUUCCAGAAGACUGGCACCUGGAGCCCAGAGCGAGGGCCACCCAUCGACAUGCCUAACAGCCAGCCCAACUCCCAGUCUGUGGAGAUGCGAGAAAUGGGUACUGAUGGCUACUCAGACAGCGAACACUACCUCCCCAUGGAAGGCCAGACCAGGGCCGCCUCCAUGCCCCGCCUCCCAGCAGAGAACCAGUGUGCGCCAUCCUGUGGGGCUGGGACAGAGGAGAAGGGGCCGGCCACGUGGAAAUGACCUCAGUGUAUGUACCGCGCCCGGCCAGCUCGGCUCCAGCCCCUCUCCCUCCCUGCCCUGUCUGUGACAGCUCCCACCAUCUCCCACUACCCUCCACCCUACCCUUUCGUUCCAGAUCCCACCCUAGCCCCACCUUGUGUGUUGGAGGAGCCCCUUCCUUGUGUGUUGUGUCCUGUGUGUGCAAGGGGCCACACGGCACCCCACAUCGUCUUCAGAGCCUCCAAGAGGCCGACCUGCCCACCCUGCCCAUUUCUUGCGGGUCUGUUCCUCCAGUUCAACCAGUGACCACUGGCCUACUGCCUCAGGUCCCUUAGCUCCUGCCUUGGGCUGGGUCCUGCACAUCAGAGUUGGAGCAGGCCUGGUCCAGUUGGCCCUGUCUUCCUUCUUCUGCCUGCUACAGAGAGACCUGAAGACUGUCCAUGGCAGAGCAAGAGCAAGGAUUCUGGGACAGUAAAUGCAGACUCAGAAUGGUCUCCAGCACCUCCACUGCUAGGGCAGGCCAAGCUGGGCCUGAGGGAUAGGGACCAGAGGUGGGGAUGGGCGUGAGGGGCAAGAGAGUUGGGCCAAGGAGAAGCAGGGCUCCCAGGUCUGCACUCUGCAAACUGAGUAUGCUUCUUGUCAGUCAGCCAGCCUGAACACCAGGGCCUCCUGGAGAGCAGGGCGAGGGGUUAGCCAGGGCCUUCUGGCCAAAGUCCAGCACAUACCCUAAGAAGCCACAACAUUCCUGUCACUGGACUCAAGUAUCCGUAGGGCUCCACCCCUGCAGCCAGCAAGCCAGACACUCAAACCCACCACUGCACCUCUGGACAUAAUCCCUGGAUGCUCACACACUCUGAUUCUGUCACCAGUCAGCCAGGUGGGCUGCAGGGCUGGAAGGAGCAGGCCAUGAAAAUGCUGGCCAUUAACUCUGCCCACGCCUGUGCCCCUCCCCCAGACCAUCUCUGAUACCAGCCCCAUGAAGCGCUCAGCCUCUGUGCUGGGACCCAAAGCCCGGCGACUGGAUGACUACUCACUAGAGCGGGUACCGCCUGAGGAGAACCAACGGUACCACCAACGUCGCCGGGACCGUGGCCACCGCACCUCUGAGCGCUCUCUGGGCCGAUACACUGAUGUGGACACAGGUUUGGGGACAGAUCUGAGCAUGACCACCCAAUCGGGUGACCUGCCCUCCAAAGAUCGGGACCAGGACCGGGGCCGACCCAAGGACCGGAAGCAUCGGCCACACCACCACCACCACCACCAUCAUCAUCAUCCCCCGGCCCCCGACCGGGAUCGCUACGCACAGGAGCGGCCGGACACCGGCCGGGCGCGGGCCCGGGAGCAGCGCUGGUCCCGCUCGCCCAGCGAAGGUCGGGAGCACACGACACACAGACAGUAGUUCCGUCAGUGGAAGCCCAGCCCCCUCUACGUCCGGCACCAGCACGCCGCGGCGCGGCCGCCGCCAGCUCCCCCAGACCCCCUGCACCCCGCGGCCGCUUGUGUCCUACUCGCCCGCUCCGCGCAGGCCUGCGGCGCGCAGGAUGGCGGGUCCCGCAGCGCCCCCUGGCGGCUCGCCGCGGGGUUGCCGCCGUGCGCCGCGCUGGCCUGCGCAUGCGCCUGAGGGCCCGCGGCCGCGCGGUGCCGACUACACCGAGCCCGACAGCCCGCGCGAGCCGCCAGGGGGCGCGCACGAUCCCGCGCCGCGGUCGCCCAGGACUCCGCGCGCCGCGGGCUGCGCGUCACCGCGCCACGGCCGCAGGCUGCCCAAUGGUUACUACGCGGGGCACGGCGCGCCGCGGCCGCGCACAGCCCGCAGGGGCGCGCACGACGCGUACAGCGAGAGCGAGGACGACUGGUGCUAAGCCGCCCCGCCCCCCGCAGCGCCCGUAAAGUGCGGGCGCACUGCAAAUGAUAAACAAUAACGUUUUUAAAAAAGAAAACCCGGGAGAAAAACAAAAAUAGCUUCUAUUGAUGAGUUUUAUCAUCUCGAUUGAAUCUUUCGUUUUCCCGGUGAAUGAAACCGAGGUGGCUGCAAGCCGGAAGGACGGCUGCACGCCCCACACACUUCUCAGACCCACGGGAGUGCUUGCGGGCCACGCCAAACUUAUUACUGCCUGCAGAGAUCAACUACAAGAAAACAACACUAACAGUUUUUAAAAGGACAAAAAAAAAUUGAGAAAAGUUUUUUUUCUGAUAUUUGGUCCUGCUUGAAAUAACAAAAGAAAAAAGAAAAAAUUACCACCAUCACUGAUUCCCUUGCUUCUUUUUUUCCUUUAUCUUUUUAAAAAUUUUUUUUCCUUUUUUUCCUAUCUUGUUUGAAAAACGUGGGCUUGGGACUGUGAAAUAUUGCAUGACAUUAAAAAGAACAAAAAAAUAAUAAAAACGAAAAAACUUGAAUCCACGGA